rnacentral:tRNA from 1 species
AAGGAUUUAAGUUAACCAAACUUUUAGCCUUCAAAGUUAAAUAUAGAUUUUUAAUCUAAGCCUUA